AUUGAACGCUGGCGGCAGGCCUAACACAUGCAAGUCGAGCGGGGUUUUCGGACCUAGCGGCGGACGGGUGAGUAAUGCGUAGGAAGCUACCCGAUAGAGGGGGAUACCAGUUGGAAACGACUGUUAAUACCGCAUAAUGUCUACGGACCAAAGUGUGGGACCUUCGGGCCACAUGCUAUCGGAUGCGCCUACGGAGGAUUAGCUAGUUGGUGAGGUAAUGGCUCACCAAGGCGACGAUCCCUAGCUGGUUUGAGAGGAUGAUUAGUCACCCGGUAACGGAGACAAGGUCCAGACUCCUACGGGAGGCAGCAGGGGGGAAUAUUGGACAAGGGUCGCAAGCCUGAUCCAGCCAUGCCGCGUGUGUGAAGAAGGCCUUCGGGUUGUAAAGCACUUUCAGUAGGGAGGAAGCGUUGUGUGUUAAUAGUACACAGCGUUGACGUUACCUACAGAAGAAGCACCGGCUAACUCUGUGCCAGCCGCCGCAGUAAAAC
rnacentral:rRNA from 1 species